rnacentral:rRNA from 1 species
GGCAACACGAGGGCUUNNCUGUCUCCCCACCCUAGUCAAUGAAAUUGAUCUUCCCGUGCAGAAGCGGAAUAANAACAUAAGACGAGAAGACCCUAUGGAGCUUNAGACACAGCAACAGAUCAUGAUAAAAUCUUUUUUAUAAAAAAUAGUAGCCGAUUCAAACCUGUUGUGAUGUUUUUUGGUUGGGGCGACCACGGGAAAUAAUUACCCCCGCGUGGACCAGGAUUACUACAAUCCGAUAUUCAAGAGCUACAGCUCUAAGUUCCAAAACUUUUGACCUAAAGAUCCGCCCUCCAAGGGGCCGAUCAACGGACCGAGUUACCCUAGGGAUAACAGCGCAAUCCCCUUUUAGAGCCCAUAUCGACAAGGGGGUUUACGACCUCGAUGUUGGAUCAGGACAUCCUAAUGGUGCAGCCGCUAUUAAGGGUUCGUUUGUUCAACGAUUAAA